rnacentral:sRNA from 1 species
UCGUGUUAAGGAUAGACGUGGCAUCCUUUUUUGAGGCACGAAAAAAAGAUAGAACAGAUAGCCUGACUUUUG